GUGAUCAUCUGUGUCUGUUCCAUCUUUCAAUAAGGGAGGAAAGUAAGACCUAGGAAUUUUAAAAGACUUGUCUAGAAAGAAGAUAAGUGAUGGGCAAGGUUAGCCGAAGUAGAAUGUACCUGACCCAGAGUGCUUUCUAUGACAUCACGCUGCCAACAAAUAGAAGACUAUUGUCAAUGGACCACUAAAUUACCUUCUCUGGUAACCUUCCAAAUGUGCAGACAUUCCAUCCUGAUGCUCUCCAUCACAAGGUAUGCUAGUGUAGUCCCAGAGCUGAGCUCAAAUGUUCUAGUCUUUCUCCUUCUUGAAAAGGGAAUUCAUAUGCCCCCUAUGAAUUUGGGUCAAGCCAGGUGCCUUGCUUUGGCAAGUGUAAUGCAGGAGAAAGUGGUAUGCCAGAAACCACGUUGGAGCUUCUCUUCCCUCCAUAAGAGCACCUUUCUGUAUUUCAGACACUGGAGACUCUGAUGCAAUGAUGGUAACCAGAACUUACCCUUUUCUGGAGAUUCCUGAGGAAACACAGAGGCAUAUGUUUCUGGGCUCACCUAACAAAUCAGUCACAUCACAGCCACCACCAUCAAACUAAAUCCACUGUGAGAGAGUUACUUCAGAGGACGGGUACCAUGGUGGGGUGUGUGUACGUGUGAAAUUUUGUUUGCUUCUUUGUUCAAGAUUACCUAUUACAGGAAUCUCUCAUUUAUGAUGGACCCUAUUUUAUGAAAAAUUACUAUUUAAUAAAUAAGUUGACUCGGGGA